GCUAAGAAUAUUCCGCAAUGGACGAAAGUCUGACGGAGCGACGCCGCGUGGAUGAAGAAGGCCGAAAGGUUGUAAAAUCCUUUUGUCGGGGAAGAAUAAGCGUGGGAGGGAAUGCCCGCGUGAUGACAUGAACCGGCGAAUAAGCCCCGGCUAACUACGUGCCAGCAGCCGCGGUAACACGUAGGGGGCAAGCGUUGUUCGGAAUUACUGGGCGUAAAGGGCAUGUAGGCGGUUUUGUAAGCCUGGCGUGAAAUUCUGCAGCUUAACUGUAGGACUGCGCUGGGAACUGCGAGACUGGAGUCACGGAGAGGGAGCCAGAAUUCCAGGUGUAGGGGUGAAAUCUGUAGAUAUCUGGAAGAAUACCAAUGGCGAAGGCAGGCUUCUGGCCGAUGACUGACGCUGAGGUGCGAAAGCGUGGGUAGCAAACAGGAUUAGAAACCCUUGUAGUCC
rnacentral:rRNA from 1 species